rnacentral:other from 1 species
CGGGUGCUGCGCCGUUCGUCAGGCCACUAUAUCCCUGGGGCCGAUACUCUAGCCCUCGGGAGCUGUCCCUGCCGGGGCCGUGGUCCCGGUACAUGGCACCCACCUUAAGUGAGGGCCGCAGAGGAUAAGAACAGCCGACGGCGGGAUGGCCCCGUC